AUUAGCACUCACUUCAGUGCCCUCUCUGUCUCAGGAGCUCUUCCUCCUGCUUUGCUGUUCCUAGGACUGGCACAUCCAUCCACCGUUAACUAGAGCUCCAUAUAGUUCUCCAUGUAGGGCCGACUGCAGUCAAUGACUUUUAUCAUCAGUACAUGUCACAAGAAAACAUUUAAAAUGACACUGAAACAAUCAUUGAAAUCAUGGUGCAUGGAGGAAAAAGCCACUUCUCGACAUGGUCUGCACAUACAGUAGAUACAUUCAUUAUUGUCCAAGGGAAGACAGUAACUGCCUUUCAUUUUAAAGAGCUUGGUGGAGAGGCUGAAGAAAUGUGCUGCAGCUGAAGGU
rnacentral:lncRNA from 1 species